rnacentral:misc_RNA from 1 species
AUUGUAAAUGGUAAAUGUUACCAACGGUGGAUAUUGAUAUAUUGUACUGUAGAAGUGUAAAAUCGUCUAAUAGAGGAAAUCAUGUCUUUGUACAUCUUUUAUUCAGUCAGUUUGCAUAAGUAAAGAUCCUAGUGAUUAUCUGUCUUUUUAUGGAGAUAUGGGUAGCAUAUAUAUUGUUUCCAGAUAUAGUUUCCUUUAGUAUUUGUUGUCUUACAUCCAUGUUUUUGU